AUGCACGCCGAUGGCGCCAUCGAGGCAGUGACCCACAUCAUGAGCUCCGGCACGACGUGGCGCGCCAAGGAGAACGCCGCGACGGCCUUGCUCAGCCUGGCGUCCGUCCAUACGUGCCGCCGAGCCUUCCGUCGUGGAAAAGUUAGUCCACCUCGUGCGCACGGGCCCGACGAGCACAAAGAAGGACGCGCUGGCCGCGCUGCUGUCGCUGGCAGGCGAGAGGGAGAACGUCGGGAAGCUGGUGGAAGCUCGUGCGAGAAGCGAGCAACGGCAGCCUGCGGCGUAAGGGAGCAGCAGGAAAUAGAUGGCGCAAACGAGAUCGGGAGCAGCAAAUCCAUGCAGCCAACUCUCAAGGUCCUCCUCGUCGUGGGGAUCCUCAAUCUAACGCCGUUCUGA
rnacentral:rRNA from 1 species